rnacentral:tRNA from 1 species
GAGGGUAUAGCUCAAGUGGUAGAGUGCGUGCUUAACAUGCAUGAGGUCCUAGGUUCAAACCCCAGUACCUCCA